GACGAACGCUGGCGGCACGCUUAACACAUGCAAGUCGAACGAAGAUGUUUCACCGUAGCUUGCUACACCGAGACAUUUUAGUGGCGGACGGGUGAGUAACACGUGAGCAAUCUGCCUUUCAGAGGGGGAUACCAGUUGGAAACGACUGUUAAUACCGCAUAACAUAUCGAGAUCGCAUGAUAUUGAUAUCAAAGAUUUAUCGCUGAAAGAUGAGCUCGCGUCUGAUUAGAUAGUUGGUGAGGUAACGGCUCACCAAGUCGACGAUCAGUAGCCGGACUGAGAGGUUGGACGGCCGACAUUGGGACUGAGACACGGCCCAGACUCCUACGGGAGGCAGCAGUGGGGAAGUAUUGCACAAUGGGCGGCAAGCCUGAUGCAGCGAUGCCGCGUGA
rnacentral:rRNA from 1 species